rnacentral:rRNA from 1 species
UGGGAGGCAGCAGUGGGGAAUAUUGGGCAAUGGGCGCAAGCCUGACCCAGCAACGCCGCGUGAGGGAAGAAGGUCUUCGGAUUGUAAACCUCUGUCCUUGGGGACGAAAAAAAUGACGGUACCCAAGGAGGAAGCUCCGGCUAACUACGUGCUAGCAGCCGCGGUAAUACGUAGGGAGCGAGCGUUGUCCGGAAUUACUGGGCGUAAAGGGUGCGUAGGCGGCGAUGCAAGUCAGAUGUGAAAUCCCCGGGCUCAACUCGGGGGGUGCAUUUGAAACUGCAUUGCUUGAGUGCAGGAGAGGAAAGCGGAAUUCCUAGUGUAGCGGUGAAAUGCGUAGAUAUUAGGAAGAACACCAGUGGCGAAGGCGGCUUUCUGGACUGUAACUGACGCUGAGGCACGAAAGCGUGGGGAGCAAACAGGAUUAGAUACCCCGGUGGUCCA